rnacentral:rRNA from 1 species
AAUGAACGCUGGCGGCGUGCCUAACACAUGCAAGUCGAGCGAGAAAGCUCCCUUCGGGGAGUGAGUAAAGCGGCGCACGGGUGAGUAACGCGUGGGUAACCUGCCCAAGAGUGGGGUAUAACUCGCCGAAAGGCGGGCUAAUCCCGCAUACGUCCAACGGACUCAAGUCCGUUGGGGAAAGAUGGCCUCUGCUUGCAAGCUAUCGCUCCUAGAUGGGCCCGCGUUAGAUUAGCUUGUUGGUGAGGUAAUGGCUCACCAAGGCUGCGAUCUAUAGCUGGUCUGAGAGGAUGACCAGUCUCACUGGGACUGAGACACGGCCCAGACUCCUACGGGAGGCAGCAGUGGGGAAUCUUGCACAAUGGGGGAAACCCUGAUGCAGCGACGCCGCGUGAGCGAUGAAGCCCUUCGGGGUGUAAAGCUCUUUCGACGGGAACGAUGAUGACGGUACCCGGAGAAGAAGCUGCGGCUAACUACGUGCCAGC